rnacentral:rRNA from 1 species
UACGUAGGGGGCUAGCGUUGUCCGGAAUCAUUGGGCGUAAAGAGCGUGUAGGCGGCCCGGUAAGUCCGCUGUGAAAGUCGGGGGCUCAACCCUCGAAUGCCGGUGGAUACUGUCGGGCUAGAGUGCGGAAGAGGCGAGUGGAAUUCCUGGUGUAGCGGUGAAAUGCGCAGAUACCAGGAGGAACACCGAUUGCGAAGGCAGCUCGCUGGGACGUCACUGACGCUGAGACGCGAAAGCGUGGGGAGCAAACAGG